ACUUGCUGUACAGACUGCUGCCA
rnacentral:piRNA from 1 species